rnacentral:lncRNA from 1 species
AACCAGAGGAGCGAACAUAAUGUGAAAACUAGACGGAGCAGCCAUUAUAACUUUUGCUUAUAAUUUAUGACGGCACUUGCGGCACUUUGCGCUGAAUUAUAUUUAUUUUUUGUAUUUUUUCGCUUCUUUCAUUUUGGAACUUUUGCGUGUCGGCCUUAAGAUGAAAUUGCCAUUGUUGCUUGGGCAAUGUUUCGACAUUUGCCGCCGAGAUACAUUUGCGAGAUAUGCAGACAAUUGAAAGCCAUUUCCUGCUGGAACAAUCACUUGAGCAUCGCUCGGCGACUGUCCCC